GGGGAAGAAAAGAGGAGGAAAAGCCUACUCUGUCUAUAUUGUUUUUCUCUGUUUUGGGUGGAGUCUGUCUUAGAUUCUGGUUGCUAGAUGGUUUCUGUAGUAACAAGCAGAGAAAAAUCCAAGACUGAAAAGGCACUUUUAAAGGUGCCAUAUCUUGCCUGAAGUAUUAUUUAUCUAACUAUGGAUAUGGAAUGUUUCUCUUCUUUAUAUUAAGGCUACCCCUUUUGGUAGGACAGACUGCUGCUAUGAGAACUUGAUUUGUUAUGUUCUUACAACAUAAGAACAUGAGAACCACGAAUCUUGUUCCCAGUUGACUUAAGCUGCUCAAAAUAAUUAUGAAAAGCCAAGAACUUAAAAUGUAUUUUUAAAGACAUCAUAAAUGGCUGUUACAGGCACAAACCACUUUGUUUUUUAGUUACAUAGGAAAGAAAAAAGAAGCUAGGUUCAGAAGGAUGCUUGGAGUUUACAUAUUAUUGCUGUAAGGAGGUUGUUGGAUAAAAGCAGCAGUCUUCUAUUUUGUUAGACUACUAUGUACAAGGGGAAGAUUCAAGCUCCUUCAUAAUAUAGCUUUAAUCUGCCAUACUCCAAAUUCUUUGUUUAUUUCUCCUAAGAGAUUUUUCAGGUGUGUGAGAAAGUAACCUUUUUGUGUGUGUCCACUAGAUUUGCUUUGCUUAGACACAAAAAAUUUAAAAAAUUAUUUUAAGAUUACUUCUUUCCUGUCUCUCCAGUACUAAUCCUUCUUUACCUGUAUUCCUGACAGCCUUGUCUCCGACAAGCAGUAAUGGUUUCCUAAGGUGGAGUUUCCUCUCUUUUUGGAAUCUAGUCACCUGUCAGUGCCCUCCAGGAUUUAGCAACCUUCCGUCUGCGAGGCUUGUGCAAUGGUCACUUAGAAAAGCAGGAACACAUGGGGCAACAAAACCAGGAAAGGACAGAAGGGAUGGAGAAGGCCUGCUUGUGCCUGGCACACUGCUGAGACUUGACAGUCUGAAUCCUGCUCCAAGCCCUGCCUUCAGACUGCUGCCUGAUCUCAGGUAAAUUACAUCACAGCUUCCCCAUCACUCAAAUAUGGUUAAAUACAGCAUUCACUCUAUAUCAUUUACAAACGGACAGGUGGAAAGUGUUACCUUGGAGCUAGGCACUCGUAAUAUUGCUUUUUAAGGCAUAUACUCCAAAAUUCAAGGCAUGGGAAAACCAAGGGUUUCAUAACAAAAGUGUGGAAAAACCCCAACAAAUAUUGGCUCAAACCCUCCCUUUUCAGGCCACACCUGAAAAACAAGUGAAACUAUAAUGGACAAAUCCUCCUUUGGCAGCGGGCCGAUCAGCCAGCACACCAUUUGCUGU
rnacentral:lncRNA from 1 species